rnacentral:rRNA from 1 species
ACUACAGAACCUUUCAAAAAUGAGUGGUUGCCUUCGGGGAACUCUGAACACAGGUGCUGCAUGGCUGUCGUCAGCUCGUGUCGUGAGAUGUUGGGUUAAGUCCCGUAACGAGCGCAACCCUUGUCCUUAGUUAGCCAGCAUUGUAAUUUGGUGGGCACUCAUAANAGGAAGAGUGGCGGAUGACAAACCAGGAAGAGAAGUGGUGGAGUGAAUGACUGUCAAUCGAUCAAUCAGUCGCGCCCAUUAAGCGUCGUUGGUACUUACACACUGUUGCUACAAGUAGGUCGGAGUACAGAGGGUUGCCAAUCCGAGAGGUAGGACGCAUAAUCUCACAAAACCGAUCAGUAGCUCCGGAGUCGCACUCUGACAAUCUCGAUGCUUGCCGAUGAAUGUCAAGAUAUCGACUAGGAUACUCGCGACACCUCCAAAUGUCGCGUGAGAACUA